AACGUAGGAGACAAACGUUAUCCGGAGUUACUGGGCGUAAAGGGCGUGUAGGUGGUUUCGUAAGUCUGGCGUGAAAUUUUUCGGCUUAACCGGGAAAGGUCGUCGGAUACUGCAGAACUAGAGGACGGUAGAGGCGUGUGGAAUUCCGGGUGUAGUGGUGAAAUGCGUAGAGAUCCGGAGGAACACCAGUGGCGAAGGCGACACGCUGGAACGGUACUGACGCUGAGGAGCGAAAGCGUGGGGAGCGAACAGG
rnacentral:rRNA from 1 species